rnacentral:rRNA from 1 species
GACGAACGCUGGCGGCGUGCUUAACACAUGCAAGUCGAACGGAAAGGCCCUGCUUUUGUGGGGUGCUCGAGUGGCGAACGGGUGAGUAACACGUGAGUAACCUGCCCUUGACUUUUGGAUAACUUCAGGAAACUGGGGCUAAUACCGGAUAGGAGCUCCUGCUGCAUGGUGGGGGUUGGAAAGUUUCGGCGGUUGGGGAUGGACUCGCGGCUUAUCAGCUUGUUGGUGGGGUAGUGGCUUACCAAGGCUUUGACGGGUAGCCGGCCUGAGAGGGUGACCGGCCACAUUGGGACUGAGAUACGGCCCAGACGCCUACGGGAGGCAGCAGUGGGGAAUAUUGCACAAUGGGCGGAAGCCUGAUGCAGCAACGCCGCGUGCGGGAUGACGGCCUUCGGGUUGUAAACCGCUUUCGCCUGUGACGAAGCGUGAGUGACGGUAAUGGGUAAAGAAGCACCGGCUAACUACGUG